GCUUUUCUGGACACAUUUCUUGUAAUUGACAUGUUUCUGUGGAAUAUUUACUUUAUUGAAAUAGUUUAGUGUCUUCGAAAAAGUCUUAACCGUUUUAGCAUCUUAACGAGUUUUUAAUCACAUCUUUAUGUGCAGAAGUAUUUUUUUUUUUUUAAGGUUUUGCUGGUAAUCCAUCAAUGGGUUAUUAGAAGUGAGCUAAUUUAUUUAAACAAAGUAUACACUGUACAGUUUAUCAAUGACAUCACUUACAGGAGCGCGAAAAUGAAAUGAAGUGCAUUUUGAUCUUUGAUGGUAAACAAAUGACCAUGAUUAAGUUUAAUGUUUGAUAAUAUAAUACCAAUUACAUUGUAGACAAAAAUGUUCUGUGAUUUCAGGAGUGAAAAAAAAUUAUUCUACGGCAAUGGAGGGGGAAGGUCCAAGGGAGCUGCUGACAGAAAAGUAGGAAACUCAGAUUCUUCCAUGCUGAUGGCCUGCACUCCUGUCGAAGAAAAUCUCAGGCUAAAAACCAUAUGACUAGUAAGGAAAACCUCUAACAUACACUACUGUUCAAAUUUUUGGAGUCUGUAAGAUUUUUUUUUUAUUGAAAGUCUCACAUUUUUAAAUCAGUGAGAGUGUCUGUGAAAAGCAUUUAGGGUAAAAUAAUCAGUGAAAUGACAUAGGUGACAAAUAUGAUGUUAUAUUGGUUGUAGUUAUGAUAAACUAUUAUGAUAAUAGGAUGGUAUGGUCAUUUAUAUAUUUUCUCUACAGUGCUCCACUCAAAGUCAUUUAUUUUUUAUGCAUUUUUUACUGGUAAAUUCUUAAAUGCCUGAAGUUGUCAACUCCCUGAACCACAGUUAGAAUUUAAAGUAAAAAGUAUUUGUUAUUUUUUUACAGAUAUCUGGCCAGCUUACUCACUGCUCCUACUCUUAGCCUCUAAAAUGUUUGAAUUAAAUCACCAAUGCAAUAUCAGAGGGUAAAGAUAUCAUUAGAGUUUUUACAGAUAUGGCUGUGCUCUUGUUACCAGAUGUAAUCCCUAGCGUUUGGUGCUGAGAUUCUUCUUUGAAAUAAAGUAAUCAGAGCAUUAUUAUGAUUACUUUUAAAAGGAGUAAUCAGUAAUCAGUCAUUUGAUUUCAUUUUCAGAAUAACUUGCCCAACACUAAAAAUGACCCACUAUGUAUUAUUAUAGCAAAACUGAGCACCCGUGACAGUGGGAUUUG
ensembl:lncRNA